rnacentral:lncRNA from 1 species
CUGACCUCGUGAUCCGCCUGCCUCGGCCUCCCAAAGUGCUGGGAUUACAGGCGUGAGCCACCGCGCCCGGCCGCUGCUUUAAGUUCUUAACACGUCCUCACCGCGGCUCAGCUCACUGUACGGCCCCUGCAUAGAGAGGGGAGGGCAGGGGCCAUGAUACUGAACUCACAGCUCUGGGCAUUUCUGAAGUCUGGCCCUUGAAGCUUUUCCUAGAGCAAAUUGUUUUCUUCUCCCCUUCAGGAAACUGAAAAUUCACACAGCAGCCGUGGGAGUCAGAGUAGCAAAGGCUUUGAGAUCACAUAGACCUGGGACACGUGCUUGCUUUGUGAUUACGGGCUUUGUGAGAAAUAUCAGAUCCAUUGCAGGAAAUAAAGAAAAGACAUGUUCUCUGCAGACCCACAUGGCAGGUGCGGGGACUGCUUGCCAACCCAUGGCAACUCACCUGUAGCGCAUGGAGAUUUGGGGGUAAACCCAGUGAUGCUGAGUAUGUGGGCUGCCCAAGCUGGGUGGCAACCAACCCCAGCAUUGAAUGUGCUGAGAGCUGGACCGGUGGAUGUCCCCACUGCCCUGAGGCAGGUCCAGGAGAAGGCUCCUACCUGCUGUGCAGAGGGCAAGCCCCAAGUCAAGACUCCCAAAAUGUUACCAGAUGUCAGGCAUGAAAUAUACACCCCUGGCAAGCUCUGCCAUGCACAGGAGUCAUGCUGCUUUCAAUCCACGGGAGAGCCGGACACGAGCGUUCCAAGGCAGGAGCAGAACUCCAUGUUGGCCAUUAUAAAGACAAGAUUCCUUUUCCCCCGCUUUUUAUAGCCUCUCUGGGUAAGAUGUGUCUGGAAGGAGGUGUGGGCCAGGAAAGAGCAUAUGUCUGAUGCCUGGGAUUCCAGGACAGAAAGUACAGCCGACUCCAAGCUCUUGGGAUGGGAUUGGAGGGUCUCAAAACCUUGCCAGCUUUGGAGUCAGAGAGAAAAGAGUCCCAACCCCAGAUUUAUCAUUUGCUAACAAAUGUGACCUUGGGCAAAUCAGCUCACCUCUCUGGCCCUCAACAGAGAUAAUCCUGGGACCUAUUUCACAGUCAUGGAGAGGAUUAAAUGGGAAGAGGAAUAAAAGGAGUUUGGAGAAGUGCCCAGGACAUAGUAUGCACUGAGCAAAUUCCGUAGUAAGAGGAGUAUUAGUAAUAGCUACUAUUGAUUAGGUGGUGUUGUGAGUUGAACAGUGUUCCCCCAAAAUUCAUGUCCACCCAGAGACACAGAAUGUGACCAUUUGUGGAAAUAGGGUCUUUGCAAAUGUAAUUAGUUAAGAUGAGGUCAUACUAGAUUAGGGUAGGCCCUA